AUUCAGUUCGGCAUUAGAGCUCGUACGGAGCACAUCUCGUUUCGGAAAAAUAAAAAUGUGAAAAAAAACACAAAAUUUUUCGUUUUUUUUGAAACCAAAAAAAAGUUUUGGUUUGCUUCGGUUCGCUUCGGUUCACUUCGGUCCGCUUCGGUUCAGAGGGACGCUCUUACAAAAAUGAAAUCAACACCUAAAAUAACACAUAUAAUCACACUGAUAUAUAAACUGAGUGCAGUUGAUGCUUCUACCGCACUGACCUAGUGAAUCCCGUUCACCAUUCCAUAUGUUAAUUGAUUGCUUGGCAACAAUCAAUUGCAUAACCAAACCAGAAAUACACGCCAUUGCUUUUUGUAACGACGUGAAAGCAAUGGCAACGGAUGCGCAGCAGCCGCUUAACACAAAAAGACUGGGAAACGAACACGUGAUGUUUGGCCAACGGGAUUACUAUGGUAUGUCCCUCAAAACAAUGGUACUGGUCCCCUUGGACUAGAUGAUCGCAUCGUUUUGGAUGCGACUGGUGCGCUUAUUAUAUAUGGGGUUUCGUUCCGCUUGCUAGUUGGUAAAUGGCCGUUCUUCCGUUCUCAUCUCUUCCUUCGGUUGGUUCAGCUUAAAUGCAAACUAAUGAAGAUCGUUCCUAUCAUAGGAUAGAUAUAACGGAGUAAAACUCGAUGGGACCGGUCGCGUUGGACGAGAGGAUUGCAUCGUUUUGCUUGUUAUUAGCAUUUCCUUUUUUUCUUGUCUAAAUAAACGCGAUUCAUUGAACGCAAA